UUUACAGUCACCUUACUUUUCCUGUAUGUUCAGUGGGUCUUGGAAGGAGUCGUUCCAGUCAGAGAUCUCAGUUGAUGUAACGGAUGUGAAUAUAAACGAGGAAGCUUUGAAGAUAGCAUUUGGCUCCCUGUAUAAAGACUAUGUUUUCAUCAAACCUGUACAGGUUGUGAGUGUUUUGGCAGCUGCUAUGUUACUACAGUUGGAAGGAUUGAUUGACCAGUGUGAGUCUAUGAUGAAAGAAACAAUCAG